UGAGCUAUAGCUCAGUGGCAGAUAAUUUGCUUUGCAUGCAGACGGUCCUGGGUUCAAUACACUGUUUUCUUUUGCUCAU